rnacentral:rRNA from 1 species
AUUGAACGCUGGCGGCGUGCCUAACACAUGCAAGUCGAGCGGUAACAGGUGUAGCAAUACAUGCUGACGAGCGGCGAACGGGUGAGUAAUGCUUCGGAAUCUACCCAAUGGUGGGGAAUAACCAGCCGAAAGGUUGGCUAAUACCGCAUACGUCCCACGGGAGGAAGCAGGGGAUCGCAAGACCUUGCGCCAACGGAUGAGCCGAAGUCGGAUUAGCUAGUUGGUAGGGAACGGCCUACCAAGGCGACGAUCCGUAGCUGGUCUGAGAGGACGACCAGCCACACUGGGACUGAGACACGGCCCAGACUCCUACGGGAGGCAGCAGUGGGGAAUAUUGGACAAUGGGGGAAACCCUGAUCCAGCGACGCCGCGUGUGUGAAGAAGGCCUGCGGGUUGUAAA